rnacentral:rRNA from 1 species
AAACUCAAAGGAAUUGACGGGGGCCCGCACAAGCAGCGGAGCAUGUGGUUUAAUUCGAAGCAACGCGAAGAACCUUACCUAGACUUGACAUCUCCUGAAUUACUCUUAAUCGAGGAAGUCGCUUCGGCGACAGGAAGACAGGUGGUGCAUGGUUGUCGUCAGCUCGUGUCGUGAGAUGUUGGGUUAAGUCCCGCAACGAGCGCAACCCUUAUUGUUAGUUGCUACCAUUUAGUUGAGCACUCUAGCGAGACUGCC